rnacentral:rRNA from 1 species
GACGAACGCUGGCGGCGUGCUUAACACAUGCAAGUCGAACGGAAAGGCCCUGCUUUUGUGGGGUGCUCGAGUGGCGAACGGGUGAGUAACACGUGAGUAACCUGCCCUUGACUUUGGGAUAACUUCAGGAAACUGGGGCUAAUACCGGAUAGGAGCUCCUGCUGCAUGGUGGGGGUUGGAAAGUUUCGGCGGUUGGGGAUGGACUCGCGGCUUAUCAGCUUGUUGGUGGGGUAGUGGCUUACCAAGGCUUUGACGGGUAGCCGGCCUGAGAGGGUGACCGGCCACAUUGGGACUGAGAUACGGCCCAGACUCCUACGGGAGGCAGCAGUGGGGAAUAUUGCACAAUGGGCGGAAGCCUGAUGCAGCAACGCCGCGUGCGGGAUGACGGCCCUCGGGUUGUAAACCGCUUUCGCCUGUGACGAAGCGUGAGUGACGGUAAUGGGUAAAGAAGCACCGGCUAACUACGUGCCAGCAGCCGCGGUGAUACGUAGGGUGCGAGCGUUGUCCGGAUUUAUUGGGCGUAAAGGGCUCGUAGGUGGUUGAUCGCGUCGGAAGUGUAAUCUUGGGGCUUAACCCUGAGCGUGCUUUCGAUACGGGUUGACUUGAGGAAGGUAGGGGAGAAUGGAAUUCCUGGUGGAGCGGUGGAAUGCGCAGAUAUCAGGAGGAACACCAGUGGCGAAGGCGGUUCUCUGGGCCUUUCCUGACGCUGAGGAGCGAAAGCGUGGGGAGCGAACAGGCUUAGAUACCCUGGUAGUCCACGCUGUAAACGGUGGGUACUAGGUGUGGGGUCCAUUCCACGGGUUCCGUGCCGUAGCUAACGCUUUAAGUACCCCGCCUGGGGAGUACGGCCGCAAGGCUAAAACUCAAAGGAAUUGACGGGGCCCCGCACAAGCGGCGGAGCAUGCGGAUUAAUUCGAUGCAACGCGUAGAACCUUACCUGGGUUUGACAUGGAUCGGGAGUGCUCAGAGAUGGGUGUGCCUCUUUUGGGGUCGGUUCACAGGUGGUGCAUGCCUGUCGUCAGCUCGUGUCGUGAGAUGUUGGGUUAAGUCCCGCAACGAGCGCAACCCUUGUUCACUGUUGCCAGCACGUUAUGGUGGGGACUCAGUGGAGACCGCCGGGGUCAACUCGGAGGAAGGUGGGGAUGACGUCAAGUCCUCAUGCCCCUUAUGUCCAGGGCUUCACGCAUGCUACAAUGGCUGGUACAGAGAGUGGCGAGCCUGUGAGGGUGAGCGAAUCUCGGAAAGCCGGUCCCAGUUCGGAUUGGGGUCUGCAACUCGACCUCAUGAAGUCGGAGUCGCUAGUAAUCGCAGAUCAGCAACGCUGCGGUGAAUACGUUCCCGGG